rnacentral:miRNA from 1 species
CGUAGAUAUCUGUUGGAACUCUG